UUCUUGUAUAGGAGGCAAGCUCUCUUGCCACUAGGCCAUAUUCCCAGCCCAAAACAUAGCAGUGGAAACAAACUACACAUAUACGGAGUUAAACUGCUAUUGUAUAUACUUCAAGGAUAUAAAACUUCAAAAUCUGGUUUAAACUGCUACAUAAGUACUAGAUGACCAAGUCUCUUGAGAAUCCCUUAGAUAGGAAAAUCAACAACUCAGAGUCAUGUUGGAAAAAUUAAAAAUGCAUCAUCAUGCUACAUUUUUGUUACAUUUAAAUGUACCGUCCUUUUACUCAUAAAGGUAAUUCUUCACUGAGCUAACAAAAUGGUUAUCAUUAUAUAAAGAUUCUAUUUAUAUAUGGGACAUUCAAUAAUAUUUCCAAAAAAGACAGUUUGGGGGAGAACUUUCUAAUACAUUUGAACAACUUAAGUUACUAGUAACCAUGGUGACAUGGUAUGGUAGCUUCCCUAAACCAUUAACAUUAUACAUUAAAAUCAAAGGUGCCUUAGAGUAUGCACAUACAUUGUUUUUUGCCAGUCUUGGGGCUUAAACUCAGGGCCUGAGCACUGAUGCUGGCUUCUUUUUGCUCAAGGCUAGCUUUACCACUUGAGCCACAGCACCACUUCUGGCUUUUUCUAUAUAUGUGGUGCUGAGGAACUGAACCCAGGGCUUCAAGUAUAUGAGGCAAGCACUCUUCCACUAGGCCAUAUUCCCAGCCCCUGCACCUAGAUUUUUAUGUCUCCAUCAAGGUUGUAGGAAGGGAAAACAAAGUACAAUUGCAGUAAACAAAAACAAAAACAAAAAACAUUUAAUACUAAUACUACAUUUCCCCUGAAAUAUUUUCCUUGAGUUAAUAGAGCGGUCUAAUUUUGUCCUAAAAAAUUCUCUAGAACAAAAUAGAUAUUUCCAAAAGACCUAGAUAUUUUCAGCUUUAUAAUUCCAAUUAUAUGUAACUACAAUCCUAUAUAUUAAAUCAUAAUCAGAAAGCCUUUUUAAGACUAAAGAAUACUCAGGAAGGCACAAUGCUUUGGUGCCUCUAAUAAUAUUUAUUGAAAUGAACUCCGGGAAAUAGAAACUGUUUUUAUUUUUUCCUCUCUGUCUUUUUUCUUUUAGUCUUGUUUCUUCAUUUGUCUGUCUUUGUCGGGGAGGGGUAAAAGAGGGCACAGAAAUAGUGGAAUAAAGAGUGAACAAAUGCAGCAGUGGUACUCAGUUGAAAAUGAACUAUACAACUUGUGGGUGGGGACAGGAAGGAAAAACUGGGAGGCAACAACGGAAAGGGUAACAUUGUCCAAAA